UCGGCCAAUCCUGAGGGUUCCCACACCAGCGUGGCCCGCCCUUCGCCUAACCCUUCCGGGAGACGCAUCUCAAGGGGAGCAGCGCCGCCAACUGCCGAGCGAUGGCGCGCGGCGCUCGCUUAAGAGGGCGGGAAGGGCGGUGCUCGAGUCCGCGGUGAUUGGCAGGUGAGAAUGGGCGUUGAUAAAGCAGAUUCUUUGAGAGAUUAUUGGCUGAGUAGCCUCAGGGGGCGGGAGGAGAGGAAGACUUGGCUUGGGAUUCGUGAGAAAGAAGCGGAAGUCGGCCGCCGGCGCGGAGGAGGUGGGUGUGAAGAGAAAGAAGGGGUGUUUGCAGCUUCGGCGCCUGUCAACAGGUGAGCGUUACCGGGAACUUCUCUGAGGGGCUCCUGGCUCCUUAGGCCCAGCGGCGGCGGAGUCCGUUGUGAACGUUUGGACUCACCCCUGCAGGUAGAUGGAGCAGCGGUAAUGCGGCGCUGGGGCCCGGGACCUGGCUGUCAGCCCAGUUCGAAUCCCUCCCUCGCCUCCUCGUGGGCCGCUGGGAGUUGUGUCAGGUGCACGACACUGCGCAGUGAAAGACGAAGAUGAAGACCCCCUGGAAGGCGUUGAAGGUGGUGAAGAGAUAGGCCAUGACUACCGACUCCUUAUUGAUGAAGAGGAGGCCGAAAGCCCAGGAAGAGCAGCUCAGCCAGGAAGAGGUUGAUGCACAGGUUCUUGUGGAUGGUAUUGCGGUCAGUCUGCA